rnacentral:rRNA from 1 species
GCGAAAACUUUACAAUGCUGGCAACAGCGAUAAGGGAACCUCGAGUGCCAGGUACAAAUCUGGCUGUCGAGAUGCCUAAAAAGCAUUUCAUAGCAAGGGCCGGGCAAGACCGGUGCCAGCCGCCGCGGUAACACCGGCGGCUCGAGUGGUAACCGUUAUUAUUGGGUCUAAAGGGUCUGUAGCCGGCCGGAUAAGUCUCUUGGGAAAUCUGGCAGCUUAACUGUCAGGCUUUCAGGAGAUACUGUCUGGCUCGAGGCCGGGAGAGGUGAGAGGUACUUCAGGGGUAGGGGUGAAAUCUUGUAAUCCUUGAAGGACCACCAGUGGCGAAGGCGUCUCACCAGAACGGACCUGACUGCAAGGGACGAAAGCUAGGGGCACGAACC